AGCUUUCUGAAUCCGUGCUGAGAUUUUGUCAGACAUCAACCCAUUAGGGCUGAUUAGACUUCCAAGAUAAGUGAAGUU
rfam:Schistosoma rodhaini strain Burundi genome assembly, scaffold: SROB_contig0002481